rnacentral:rRNA from 1 species
UAACACGUAGGUAACCUGCCUAUAAGACUGGGAUAACUCCGGGAAACCGGGGCUAAUACCGGAUAACAUUUUGCACCGCAUGGUGCGAAAUUGAAAGGCGGCUUCGGCUGUCACUUAUAGAUGGACCUGCGGCGCAUUAGCUAGUUGGUGAGGUAACGGCUCACCAAGGCGACGAUGCGUAGCCGACCUGAGAGGGUGAUCGGCCACACUGGGACUGAGACACGGCCCAGACUCCUACGGGAGGCAGCAGUAGGGAAUCUUCCGCAAUGGACGAAAGUCUGACGGAGCAACGCCGCGUGAGCGAUGAAGGCCUUCGGGUCGUAAAGCUCUGUUGUUAGGGAAGAACAAGUGCUAGUUGAAUAAGCUGGCACCUUGACGGUACCUAACCAGAAAGCCACGGCUAACUACGUGCCAGCAGCCGCGGUAAUACGUAGGUGGCAAGCGUUAUCCGGAAUUAUUGGGCGUAAAGCGCGCGCAGGUGGUUUCUUAAGUCUG